AGCCGGCCUGAGAGGGCGACCGGCCACACUGGGACUGAGACACGGCCCAGACACCUACGGGAGGCAGCAGUGGGGAAUAUUGGGCAAUGGACGAAAGUCUGACCCAGCGACGCCGCGUGCGGGAUGAAGGCCUUCGGGUUGUAAACCGCUUUCAGCAGGGAAUAAGCGCAAGUGAAGGUACCUGCAGAAGAAGCACCGGCUAACUAUGUGCCAGCAGCCGCGGUAAUACAUAGGGUGCAAGCGUUGUCCGGAAUUAUUGGGCGUAAAGAGCUCGUAGGUGGUUUGUUACGUCGGAUGUGAAAUUCAGGGGCUCAACCCCUGACUUGCAUCCGAUACGGGCAAGCUAGAGUUUGGUAGGGGAGACUGGAAUUCCU
rnacentral:rRNA from 1 species